UCGCCAGACUCCUACGGGAGGCAGCAGUGGGGAAUAUUGCACAAUGGGGGAAACCCUGAUGCAGCGACGCCGCGUGGGUGAAGAAGUACUUCGGUCCGUAAAGCCCUAUCAGCAGGGAAGAAAAUGACGGUACCUGAUUAAGAAGCCCCGGCUAACUACGUGCCAGCAGCCGCGGUAAUACGUGGGGGGCAAGCGUUAUCCGGAUUUACUGGGUGUAAAGGGAGCGUAGACGGCAUUGCAAGUCCGGAGUGAAAGCCCACGGCCCAACCGUGGGACUGCUCUGGAACUGCGCGGCUGGAGUGCAGGAGGGGCAGGCGGAAUUCCUGGUGUAGCGGUGAAAUGCGUAGAUAUCAGGAGGAACACCGGUGGCGAAGGCGGCCUGCUGGACUGCGACUGACGUUGAGGCCCGAAAGCGUGGGGAGCAAACAGGAUUAGAUACCCCUGUA
rnacentral:rRNA from 1 species